CCUACGGGUGGCAGCAGUGGGGAAUAUUGGACAAUGGGCGAAAGCCUGAUCCAGCCAUGCCGCGUGUGUGAAGAAGGCCUUCGGGUUGUAAAGCACUUUCAGUGGGGAAGAAAGCCUUGGGGCUAAUACCCUCGAGGAAGGACAUCACCCACAGAAGAAGCACCGGCUAACUCCGUGCCAGCAGCCGCGGUAAUACGGAGGGUGCGAGCGUUAAUCGGAAUUACUGGGCGUAAAGCGCGCGUAGGCGGUCUGAUAAGCCGGUUGUGAAAGCCCCGGGCUCAACCUGGGAACGGCAUCCGGAACUGUCAGGCUAGAGUGCAGGAGAGGAAGGUUGAAUUCCCGGUGUAGCGGUGAAAUGCGUAGAGAUCGGGAGGAAUACCAGUGGCGAAGGCGGCCUUCUGGACUGACACUGACGCUGAGGUGCGAAAGCGUGGGUAGCAAACAGGAUUAGUACCCUAGUAGUC
rnacentral:rRNA from 1 species